GAUAAAAUAAUAAUAAUAAUAAUAAUAAUAAUAAUAAUAAUAAUAAUAAUUUAUUUAUCUCCUCGAGAGGACUCAGGGUGUUUUCCAACAUGUGUGCAAAACAGUCAAUUGUCAAAACAACAUACAAACAACAUACAACAACUUAAACACAGACAAACAUAAUAAACAACAAUGGAGCUGCAUUAAUAGGGGCGUUGUGUGCUCCCUAUAAUAACCUAGGCAAAAAUCUUGUCUAUGCACAUACUGUCAAGGACAGAACGCCACAAGAUCAAAGAUAACAGAGUUUAUUGGAUUUACAGAACUCAAAAUGCCCGUAAAAGACAAGGGCUAGGCAACAUUAGCCUCAAAAAGCAAAAAGGGGCAAGAAAAACGUUCAAAAGAUAAACCGGAUUAAACCGGAGUUUAAUCCGGGUAAAAUCAAAACAGCUUGCUUCAGCUUGGGAACAAACAAAACAGAAGCUGGGAAACAAAGAGUUCAAAAGAAUGUAACUAAUUGGCAGCAGAUGCCUCUCUGCUGCCAGCACUAUGUUUUGAGUAACUUAGAAGUCACUCCUACACACAGCAGGCAAUUUCCAAUACAAACACAACAGCCGAGGAUUGAAGCAGUAGAGUAGUCCCAGUUCUUUCCGAAGGUCGAUAGGCAGAAGCAGACGUUUGCAGUUUUCCCAAGUCCAGUAGGAGAAUCCGAGCCCGUAGUCAGUUCAGUCCGUAAAUCCAGAGUAGCAGAUGGCGUCCGUCAAGAAGACGACGGAAGGUCAAAGCUAUUGAGAUUAAGCAGAGGUUUGCACAAACAAAAGCCCACACAAUUCCUCCCGCCGUCUGAACCCAAAUUCCAAAACAACUUACGUAAUCAGCACACGAAACACACCCGUCUUCAGGAAAACGUCCCACACAGAUCCCAAGCGUUUGUCCAGAUUACCUUGCCCAACGCAAUUUGCUAUUGCUCCCAAGCCCCAUUUUAUGCCAGUUACAAUUCCUCAUCACUAUCAGCUGUUCUCCUUAACCCGGGCGUUUCCUCAUCACUUUCCUCAUCAGAACUGGAACACCUCUGACUACGCCCCACAGCAUCCCCAGCUGUGGAUCCCGUCCCACACAGAUCCCAAGCGUUUGUCCAGAUUACCUUGCCCAACGCAAUUUGCUAUUGCUCCCAAGCCCCAUUUUAUGCCAGUUACAAUUCCUCAUCACUAUCAGCUGUUCUCCUUAACCCGGGCGUUUCCUCAUCACUUUCCUCAUCAGAACUGGAACACCUCUGACUACGCCCUACAGCAUCCCCAGCUGUGGAUCCCGUCCCAUCCCUCCAGCUUGUCCAUGGGUCUAGUCCUGAAGGUCCCCAAUCAUCUUCCAUCCCAUCAUUGCCAGUGGCACCCAAUUCCUCCCUUACCCGAGUCCAAUCCAUCUCAUCCUCUUCUGAGCUAACCAGCUCUUCCUCCAUUCUCUCUGUAAACCCCUCAAAAGACUCUUCGUCAGAUGGUUCUGCAAAGAUAUCUCGCAGCCUCUUUCUUUCUCGCUCCUCGAGAGUAUCUGACUCUCGAGGAGUCUUACGCCCACGUCUGCCAGUAGCAGAGCCAUGAGGCUCAAUCAUAACACAUACAUUUGACACGGCUAAUAUUGAGUGAAUAGGAGCAGGUAAUAGAAAACAGAAGCUGCUCUUGAUAAAUAUGCAUACGCAUUACUGGAGGACUUUGCAGGUGAAUGACAUAUACCUCUCCUUCACUGCAUACUCACUACCACCAGAUUUCAUAAAAAUGAAUGAGUUGGUCAGAGGUUGAAAGCAAAUACUGAGUAUAAUGUGGGAGACAGAAUGUGAGACUGGGUACAAGGUUCAGUUCCUUGCAAAUUUAGCAUUUUCACACACACCAAAAUAAAAUAUCUGAGAUUUUAUGCUGGUAAGGAUUCACUUGAUUAUGCAUGAGUUUCAGAAGCAAUAGACGAGUGAAUGAAUAAAGAUUCCAGGGCUUAAAUUCUAUCCUUACUUCUUUCUAUGAUGAUUAGAAAUAGAUUUCUUUAUGCAAAAUAAACACACAGACAAAAAGCAUACAGUAUUUGCAUAAUGUCUACGGGCUAGAUAAUAAAUAAUUCCUAAACAACCCAAGAUUUGUUUUUCUGAAAAGUUCCUUUCUCAUUUGUAAAUCUAUUCUUGAGGUGAGGCUUCAAUACAAUCAUAUACUCAUUUGGAGCAGGGCAUAUCAGCUGGCAGCACCAAAGAUGCAAAAUACCCUCUAGUCUCAUAUCCAGCAUGAAUGAACAAUUCUUAUUUUUAGGCACAUUUUCCAAUGUUUGCAACAAUCUCAGCAUCUAUUUCACAGAUAAACAUAAAUGUGUCAUGAUUUUAUGCCUUCCUUCCUAUUGUAUGUGUUACAAUUGUGUUGCAGUGGAGGACAUAGAGAUUCCUAGAGAAGUGUUCUCUCAGGUUUAAAAAAAAGCAUUUUUUAAAUUUGCAAUUUUCCAACUUUUGCAGGGUUCUGUUCCCCUAAUCAGUGGAUGUGGAGAUCCCAAUGUAGAUAUACAGUACAAAUCCUUCUAAGCAACUAACAGUGCACUUCUGAACAUGCUUUGCUAGAGAUACAUCUGGUUUCUUGAUCUUUUUUUUUUUUUUAAAUAGUCUUUAUAAAACUGCUAUGAAAUAAAUGCAUAGGGGAUACAGCAAUAUUAAAACUUAUUUUGAAACUUGCUUUAAAUACAAUUACCUAAUUCCUAUUUUUCGUUUUUAAUGUAUAAAGUCAUUAAUAUAAUUCCUUGUCCAUAAUGAUUUAAAUUGUACAAUAAUCUUUGUCAGACAAAUAUUUAGAAACACUAAUGGUUGCCACAGUUUAUGCAAUUCAGUAUUAGGAAAAGGUUUCCCCCUGACA
ensembl:lncRNA